CGCUGAAACACCGGUUCUCGUCAGAUUACCGAAGUUAAGCAAUUCCCGGCUUGUUCAGUACUUAGAUGGGCGACCACUUGAGAAUACU